rnacentral:ncRNA from 21 species
GGGAGACGCCGCGACUGGCGAGGGUGGAUGACCACCGGGGAGCGGCCGCAUUUCCCGCGAGGCGUCGCCCGCCUGGGCGCCUGGG